UACGUAGGGUGCAAGCGUUGUCCGGAAUUAUUGGGCGUAAAGAGCUCGUAGGCGGUCUGUCGCGUCUGCUGUGAAAACUCGGGGCUUAACCCCGGGCCUGCAGUGGGUACGGGCAGACUAGAGUGCGGUAGGGGAGACUGGAAUUCCUGGUGUAGCGGUGAAAUGCGCAGAUAUCAGGAGGAACACCGAUGGCGAAGGCAGGUCUCUGGGCAUUAACUGACGCUGAGGAGCGAAAAGCAUGGGGAGCGAACAGG
rnacentral:rRNA from 1 species